rnacentral:rRNA from 1 species
UACGGGGGGGGCAAGCGUUGUUCGGAAUUACUGGGCGUAAAGGGCUCGUAGGCGGCCAACUAAGUCAGACGUGAAAUCCCUCGGCUUAACCGGGGAACUGCGUCUGAUACUGGAUGGCUUGAGUUCGGGAGAGGGAUGCGGAAUUCCAGGUGUAGCGGUGAAAUGCGUAGAUAUCUGGAGGAACACCGGUGGCGAAGGCGGCAUCCUGGACCGAUACUGACGCUGAGGAGCGAAAGCGUGGGGAGCAAACAGGG